rnacentral:rRNA from 1 species
GACAAACGCUGGCGGCGUGCCUAAGACAUGCAAGUCGAACGGGGGGGCUUCGGCUCCCGAGUGGCGGACGGGUGAGGAGCGCGUGGAGAACCUGCCCCGGGGUGGGGAAUACCCGCCAGAAAUGGCGGUUAAGACCGCAUACGACGUUCUCGCGAUGGCGAGGAUGGGAAAGCAGUGAUGUGCCCUGGGAGGGCUCCGCGUCGGAUUAGCUAGUUGGUGGGGUAACGGCCUACCAAGGCGACGAUCCGUAGCUGGUCUGAGAGGACGGCCAGCCACA